GAUGAACGCUGACAGAAUGCUUAACACAUGCAAGUCGAUGGCGAAGCUGUGCUUGCACAGCCUAGCCAUGGCGGACGGGUGAGUAACUCGUAAGGAACUUGCCCUACAGUCAGGGAUAACAGACGAAAACGACUGAUAAUACCUGGUCAAGUGAGUCGUACUCAUUUCCAGCCUGAUGAAAAGUGAUGCUGCUGGGGAGUCUUACGGCCUAUUAGCUUGUUGGUGGGAUAACGGCCCACCAAGGCGAUGAUAGGUAGCCGGCCUGAGAGGAGGGACGGCCGCCAGGCGACUGCGAUGCGACCCUCCAGCCUACGGGGGGCAGCAGUGGGGAAUAUUGGACGAUGAGGGCCGAAAUGAUCAAGCAACUCUGUGUGCACGAUGAAGAUUUUCGUAGUGUAAAAUGCUUCCAGCAGGGAAGAAGAAAAUGACGGUACCUGGAGAAGAAGCGACGGCUAACUACGUG
rnacentral:rRNA from 1 species